CAGGAUAGGCAAGUUUUGUAGGAUGGGGAAGUGCUGGCUGUGCCUUCCACUGAUUCAAAGCACUCUCAGCCACUCAUUAGUGCAGUGGUUCACCAAAGGUGGUCCUGGGACCAGCAGCAUCAGUGUCACCUGGGAAUUGUUAGAAAUGCAAAUUCUUAGAUUCCCUCCAGGCCUACUAAGUUAGGUGGAUCCCAGCAAUCUGUGUUUUAACAAGCUCUCCAGGUGAUUCUGAGAAACACAGCUCUAGAAGGAGCCCAGGUGAACGUUGAAAAGGGUAGUAAGCAAGAGCUGGCAGUCUUUCUGGGCUGCAAUGAGAGUCGUGGGGAGGCUGGGGAGGUAUGUCCUGGCCUGUCUGGGGUAUUGGCUUUGAAGAGGCCCUAAGGCAUCUUUCCAGUGUAUGUUGCAUCCUAGGAGGAGAAGUCCCAUCCAGAAAGAGGAGCCAUGGCCAACCAAGGAUAGCAGGCCAAAGAUUCUAAGCUGCUGGCUGUCAAUGAGUUAUCGCGUCCUGCCCCAUUAUUUGGCAGUGAAAGUUCUACAUGUUUUACACAUUGAUGCUAAAUAAUGUGUCAAGUCCUUGCAGCCACAUCACCGUCACUGUCUGCACCUCUGAAUAGUCGUGGCUCGGAUGGGCUGGGCUGGAAGGCAGGCUGGAUUCUUAGCAAUGGAAGUGGGGAUGAGGUCUGUGGCUGGAAGGGUAACUUUAUCCAUGGCUGGUGGAUGAGAGGCUGCACACCUGCCAGGAUUGGGUCUGGAUGAUGAAAGUUACCACGUCCUGCAGGAGGCGGGACUGACAAUGCCUGAGCCCCAAUUCCACUGCUGGGAAACAAUGUGGAGUGAGCUAUCAGUUUCCGAGGAUGUCAUGGAUUUUCCAAGCUUUAAUUACCAGCCUCCGUUUCCCGUGCAUGGCUCUGCUCCUGCCCUCCCUGGGGGAGGUUUCUGGAGCUUUGUUGGUUUCCUGAACUCAGUGGGUUGUAGACGAAAGUGCUUUGGAAUCAGCCAGUGGGGCUCUGAGUCCUGGUUUUGCUCUGUGAAUCUGGGUAUUUCAAGGGAGUUUCUCUUCCUCUGGCUGAGCUUGUUUCCUCAUCUCUAAAAUGGUAUUUAUUCUGCUUUCCUCACAAAUUGUGUUGCGGUCAUGAGAAUGAAGGAGGUCAAGCACCACUUCAUCACAGAGAAGGCUCUGAACCAACGUUAAUUCCCUCUUGUUCUCCUCCCUGCUCCCCCAUCUCAGCCUCUCUGUAUUUUGAAAACCUGAGUGCCUUGGGUAAACACACGUUAGCCCAUCUACGUCAACUUUGUUGUAAACAGGGGCUUGGAGAGAGGGAGUCUGUCUAUAUUUCUUCCAGUUGGAAAGCCGGGGGCAAUUUUCUUUCUUUCCUUUCAGUAAGAGAGAAUCUAUGCUGGAUAUUCUAUCCUAGAGAUCAAGUUCAGUCCUCCUGGCAUGGAGUCACACAAC
rnacentral:lncRNA from 1 species